GAUGAACGCUGGCGGCGUGCCUAACACAUGCAAGUCGAGCGAACAGAUGAGGAGCUUGCUCCUCUGACGUUAGCGGCGGACGGGUGAGUAACACGUGGAUAACCUACCUAUAUGUCUGGGAUAACUUCGGGAAACCGGAGCUAAUACCGGAUAAUAUAUUGAACCGCAUGGUUCAAUAGUGAAAGACGGCUUUGCUGUCACUUAUAGAUGGAUCCGCGCUGCAUUAGCUAGUUGGUAAGGUAACGGCUUACCAAGGCGACGAUGCGUAGCCGACCUGAGAGGGUGAUCGGCCACACUGGAACUGAGACACGGUCCAGACUCCUACGGGAGGCAGCAGUAGGGAAUAUUCCGCAAUGGGCGCAAGCCUGACGGAGCAACGCCGCGUGAGUGAUGAAGGUCUUCGGAUUGUAAAACUCUGUUAUUGGGAAAGAACAAAUGUGUAAUUAACUAUGCACGUCUUGACGGUACCUAAUCAGAAAGCCACGGCUAACUACGUG
rnacentral:rRNA from 1 species